rnacentral:ncRNA from 1 species
UUUUCAAACAGGAAAAGGGUUAAAAGGGAAACAGGUAUAAAGCCUGUGCGAUCUCGUCACUGUAUGCAGGGAAUGCAUGGCCGAUGGUGCCACUGGUGUAAACCGGGAAGGCGGCCGUGUGUAACGAUCUGUGAGCCAGGAAACCUGCCGUCUGC